CCUACGGGAGGCUGCAGUGAGGAAUAUUGGUCAAUGGACGAGAGUCUGAACCAGCCAAGUAGCGUGAAGGAUGACUGCCCUAUGGGUUGUAAACUUCUUUUAUAUGGGAAUAAAAUGUUCCACGUGUGGGAUUUUGUAUGUACCAUAUGAAUAAGGAUCGGCUAACUCCGUGCCAGCAGCCGCGGUAAUACGGAGGAUCCGAGCGUUAUCCGGAUUUAUUGGGUUUAAAGGGAGCGUAUGUGGAUUGUUAAGUCAGUUGUGAAAGUUUGCGGCUCAACCGUAAAAUUGCAGUUGAAACUGGCAGUCUUGAGUACAGUAGAGGUGGGCGGAAUGCGUGGUGUAGCGGUGAAAUGCUUAGAUAUCACGAAGAACUCCGAUUGCGAAGGCAGUUCACUGGACUGCAACUGACACUGAGGCUCGAAAGUGUGGGUAUCAAACAGGAUUAGAUACCCCUGUAGUC
rnacentral:rRNA from 1 species